GAGGAGGACAGCACUACUGUGGUAGAGGAGCGGUGUGUGUGCAGACAUGGCUGCUGUUGGUGAAGCGGACUGAACUUAGAGGAGAGACACAAACUAAAGUAUCGAUCCCAUCACGUCAGUGUGGACCUGAUAUCAACGUCUGUAUCGCUUCUAUCGAUGCUUGUAUCAAUCCACCCAGCCUGAGUUGAAGCAGCAAUGAGUUCAGUUCAGUAUCUGAGAGAGUUCAUCAAGGAGAGACUAACUGCUGUUGGUGAAGAAAUCUUCUCAGAGGUUCAAAAAACCAUCGUAUGAGGAGGAGAUCUACCGUCAGCACAGACUGCUGGAUAUCAGCCGGAAACCCGACAGAAACUCACACAUCAUAGACCUCCCACAACAACAUGACUGUAAGGAAGAGGAGGGUCUGGAUGAGCAGCAGGUCUGUAACCAGGAGAGGAACUCCAGUCUGGACCAGGAGGACCCAGAGCCUCCACAGAUUAAAGAGGAACAGGAGGAGCUCUGCAGCAGUCAGGAGGGAGAGCAGCUUGGACUGAAGGAGGAGACUGAAGGCAUUAUCGUCUGGACUGAUGAAGAGCAGCUCAGAUUGAUGGAGACCAUCUGGAAACCUGUGAUAAAGUUACACAGAAUAGAUGUCCAACAGCAGCAUGCUUUUGAGGAAGAGGAGGUUUUUACCAACCAGGAGGUCUGUAACCAGGAGAGAAACUCCAGUCUGGACCAGGAGGACCCGGAGCCUCCACAGAUUAAAGAGGAACAGGAGGAACUCCGCAGCAAUCAGGAGGGAG